AUUGAACGCUGGCGGCAGGCUUAACACAUGCAAGUCGAGCGGGGGAAGGUAGCUUGCUACCGGACCUAGCGGCGGACGGGUGAGUAAUGCUUAGGAAUCUGCCUAUUAGUGGGGGACAACAUCUCGAAAGGGAUGCUAAUACCGCAUACGUCCUACGGGAGAAAGCAGGGGAUCUUCGGACCUUGCGCUAAUAGAUGAGCCUAAGUCGGAUUAGCUAGUUGGUGGGGUAAAGGCCUACCAAGGCGACGAUCUGUAGCGGGUCUGAGAGGAUGAUCCGCCACACUGGAACUGAGACACGGCCCAGACUCCUACGGGAGGCAGCAGUGGGGAAUAUUGGACAAUGGGGGGAACCCUGAUCUAGCCAUGCCGCGUGUGUGAAGAAGGCCUUAUGGUUGUAAAGCACUUUAAGCGAGGAGGAGGCUACUCUAGUUAAUACCUAGGGAUAGUGGACGUUACUCGCAGAAUAAGCGCCGGCUAACUCUGUGCCAGCCGCCGCAGUAA
rnacentral:rRNA from 1 species